rnacentral:rRNA from 1 species
GCGGCGGACGGGUGAGUAACGCGUGGGUAACCUGCCCUGUACACACGGAUAACAUACCGAAAGGUAUGCUAAUACGAGAUAAUAUGCUUUUAUCGCAUGGUAGAAGUAUCAAAGUUUUUGCGGUACAGGAUGGACCCGCGUCUGAUUAGCUAGUUGGUAAGGUAAUGGCUUACCAAGGCGACGAUCAGUAGCCGACCUGAGAGGGUGAUCGGCCACAUUGGAACUGAGACACGGUCCAAACUCCUACGGGAGGCAGCAGUGGGGAAUAUUGCACAAUGGGCGAAAGCCUGAUGCAGCAACGCCGCGUGAGCGAUGAAGGCCUUCGGGUCGUAAAGCUCUGUCCUCAAGGAAGAUAAUGACGGUACUUGAGGAGGAAGCCCCUGCUAACUACGUGCCAGCAGCCGCGGUAGUACGUAGGGGGCUAGCGUUAUCCGGAAUUACUGGGCGUAAAGGGUGCGUAGGUGGUUUCUUAAGUCAGAGGUGAAAGGCUACGGCUCAACCGUAGUAAGCCUUUGAAACUGGGAAACUUGAGUGCAGGAGAGGAGAGUGGAAUUCCUAGUGUAGCGGUGAAAUGCGUAGAUAUUAGGAGGAACACCAGUUGCGAAGGCGGCUCUCUGGACUGUAACUGACACUGAGGCACGAAAGCGUGGGGAGCAAACAGGAUUAGAUACCCUGGUAGUCCACGCCGUAAACGAUGAGUA